AGUUCGUUCGUGAUGUAGUUUAAGUUAGGUCAUAAUGUAGUCGUCAAGCUUUCGGGCGGAGGCUAUGGCCCUCGUCAGGGGUCACGCGUCAUAGUUUUUAAAAUGUAAUGUUCGUUCGGGAUUUCAAGGGCAGGAGAGGCCCCUACGUUAUUUUUUUAAAGUAAUCGAUCAAGAAAGGCUUUUCGGAAAAUGUGAGUAUGGACUUAUCUUUGUUUUAAUUUUAAGUAUUAAUUAUGAUUUGAGGUAUUCGGAAGGACUAGGGAAGUGUUUAGUGAAGUUCUCUCAUUCUCUCUCUUGUAAGGUCGUUCAAUCGUUAAGGAAGUAAAGAGAUUAUUGUUUUAAAUUGUAAUCCCGCUAUUUAAAUGUUCUUUAAAAUGAUGUUGAGUAUUUGACUUUAAGAAUAAAAUAAUUUUAAUUAAGUAUUAUGUUAUUUUGCAAAAUCUCCUUAGUUCAGCUCUCACCAGACAUCCUGUACGGGAUGACGAACCUAUGAUCCUAGGUACAGUAAAGUAUUUUAUGAAGUUAAGACUAGUUGAUGCCAAGCGAGUUGUUUCUAUGUAAAGAGCUACGAUUCUCUCCCCCCUCUGAAAGUGGAUCGUGACAGAAAUGGCGGUGGCACCGGCUAGGUGCACGUGACAGAAAUGGUAGAGUUCGCCGGAUAGGUUCUAUUUCUGGAGAGAGAGAGAGGUAGAUUUUUAUGUUUAUUAUUAAGUUAGUUUCAGCUUCUGAUAGCAGGUUAUUAAGAGUUUACUUGAGGAGAGGAUUACGGAAUUUUAGUCUAUAGUGGAGGAAGUCUUUGAGAUUUUUUUUUGACGUAACAGAUGUUUAUUUGAGGAUACUUGUAAGGAUAAAGUUUAUAGUGAUAAGUUGUUUUAAGUCGUUGAAUUUAUUGUAGAUUUAUAUCGGGGAUUAUUACGUGAGGAGAAUACGUUAUAAGUUAAAUGCUUAUUAGAGAUAAUGCAAGUGGUUUAAUUUAAUUGAAGUUCAUUUUAAGAUUGUAGGUUAAGAGAAUUAUAAUUUAAAAUAAAGUUUUUGUCGUAAAUAGGAAUUAUUUUCAAGAGAAGUUUGUUUUGUUUUCGUGCGCGUAGGAGACGAGACGUACGAAUUAAAUCAGUCGAGGGAAGGAUAAACGUUAGAAAGGAAUUAAAGAGAAAACGAGAGUUUAUGUAAAAGAGAGUUAUAGAAUUUAUAGUGAUGUUUUGUUUUAAUUAGAAAAAUGUUGAGAGUUGUUUCAGAACGACACGUCAGUGGACGUGGCAGAGUGAACACGUGACGGGGAGGUGCUGAGACCUAGCAGGGAACGGAGGAACCGCAAGCGAGUGUUGGCGCACCUGAUGGAAUUCGGUGACGUCACGGGCUCAUACGGAGACGUGGACAGGCCGUGACCUUGUUUUGAUCAGCUGUACGGUAACUUAGCGAUAAGAAAAUAGACUAUUGGUUAAAUAAAUUUAAAUUUAAGUGUGUUUUAGAAGAAGAGUAACUUUCAGUAUAUUCCUUAAGAUGAGCUGAGCAGCAGCACAGUUUACAAGAUUGCAAGAGUUCGAGAGACAAGAUGCAAGAUUACUGAAACAAGAACCAAGACUGAAGAUUCAAGGGAAGAGAGCUGGCAGCCAUGGACUUGCAAGUGAAGAUUAAUAAGAAUUGUAAUUUGUUCGUGAUGAGGAUGGCACAACUCUGAAGCAGAUGUGGGGAGAAGAUGUGAGCUGCCCUGGAAGCCAGUCCAGUAGCGGUUGGAGUUGAGUGAUGUUUGCUGAUGGCCAGCCCAGGGAGCUACUCUUCUCGACAACACUGACUUCGAGGAGUUGCACCAACCUUCACGAGAUAAGAGUUUAAUUAAUUGAAACACUGAUAAUUUUGUAAGGACACUUAAUUUUUUUUGAAGAACGAAGGAAGUAUUGUGAUAAACGGAAACUGAAAAAAAAAGAAUAAUUAUCAAGAAUUCUUACAUUAUUAUUUUAUAAAAUAAUUUAACAAAUACUGAGAAACUAAGAACAUUAAUUUAAUUUGUAAAGAGAGCUUCACUAACAGAGCAAUUUUUUUUUUAAUUGAGAACUCAGCCUCUGAAUGUACCUAGGAGAAAUAUCCAGAUAAAAGUUUUACAUUUUUAGUUUAAUGAAUAAUUGUUGUUUUAAAUGAUCUUGUGCAGAAUCUAGAUGUAUGUUCAGAAAGUAAGGACCUAAGAAACAUUAUUAUUUUUGUGAAAUAAGGAAUUUAUAGUUAUGGUUUGAUGGAGAAAUACACUUUGUAGUUUUGAGGUAGCUCGAUGGGGCUCGAGCUCUGUGAGGGGAGGGUUAUGUCGCGGUUCAAAAUUUUACAGGGUUUUUGAAAUCAAAUUUAGGGACUUUACUGACGGGACUCUGGGCUGGCUGCUCUGUUCACUCGUCAGCGCAAGUGGCGUGCCCAUAUAAUUGGGGCACGAAGCCGGCGCAGCGCGCUGCGGGCUUGCAGAUUUUUGUUUGUUGUUCGGCCGCGCGUGCCGCGGCCACGGGCCGCAUUUACUGGGGCGCGCUGUCGUAACAAACCGCGCGGUGUGGCCUGCACGUCGGGUAGAGGGGGGUAGCCUUCCCAGAUAUCCUAGUGGGUUGUUUAGUAAAUUUGGCUUCAAUAACGAGCAUUUGUUAUGCUAUAGGCGCGGCAGGGCGCGCGAAUUUAAGCGCAAGUGUGUGGUAGCUCGGGGCUCACUCAGGCGGAGGCUAUGGUCGUCAUCUGAGGUAACGAGUUGCUUAGAUCGUAAUGUAAUUUAAGUUAGUUCAUAAUGUAGUCGUCUUCAAGCACUCGGGCAAAGGCUAUGGCCCUCGUCACGAGUCUUUAUAAGUCAGAGUUUUUAAGAAUGUAAUGUUCGUUCGGGUUUUAAGGGCAGGAGAGGCCCCUACGUUAGUUUUUUUUAAGUAAUCGAUCAAGAAAGGCUUCUUGGAAAAUGUGAGUAUUGCUUGAUCUUUGUCUUAAUUUUAAUUAUAUGUUAAGAUGUAUUCGUAAGGAUAAGGGAAGAGUUUAGUGAAGUUCUCUCUUUCUCUCUUGUAAGGUCGUUCAGUAGUUAAGGAAGUAAUGAAUAGAUUGUUGUUGUAAAUUUUAAUCCCGCUUUGUAAAUGUUCGUCAAGACCGAUUUUACUUUAUUUGACUUUAGAAUAAAAUCAUUUUAAUUUAGUAUUAUGUUAUUUUGCAAAAUCUCCUUAGUUCAGCUCUCACCAGACAUCCUGUACGGGAUGACGAACCUAUUAACUUCGAUCCAAGGUACAUUAAAGGAUUUUAUGAAUUUAAGAGGAAUUGUGAUUAAUGCCUUUCUCAAAUCAUGAAGCCAGCAAGCGAGUUGUUUUUAUGUAAAGAGCUACGAUUCUCUCCCCCGUAACUUUUACGAUUGACGAUUUA